rnacentral:rRNA from 1 species
CCUACGGGUGGCAGCAGUGAGGAAUAUUGGUCAAUGGGCGAGAGCCUGAACCAGCCAAGUCGCGUGAGGGAGUACUGCCCUAUGGGUUGUAAACCUCUUUUGUCGGGGAGCAAAAGCCGGACGUGUCCGGCUGUGAGAGUACCCGAAGAAAAAGCAUCGGCUAACUCCGUGCCAGCAGCCGCGGUAAUACGGAGGAUGCGAGCGUUAUCCGGAUUUAUUGGGUUUAAAGGGUGCGCAGGCGGGUUUUUAAGUCAGCGGUAAAAUCGUGGGGCUCAACCCCAUCCAGCCGUUGAAACUGGGGAUCUAGAGUGUGCGAGAGGUAUGCGGAAUGCGUGGUGUAGCGGUGAAAUGCAUAGAUAUCACGCAGAACCCCGAUUGCGAAGGCAGCAUACCGGUGCACAACUGACGCUCAGGCACGAAAGCGUGGGUAUCGAACAGGAUUAGAUACCCUUGUAGUC